rnacentral:siRNA from 1 species
GCAAUGGUGAUCUCUCUUAU